CAUAAAAAGUAUUGGAAGCAUCGCCUGCCCUGUGACUUCAUGUUUAACGGCCGCGGUAUCCUGACCGUGCAAAGGUAGCAUAAUCACUUGUUCUUUAAAUAAGGACUAGUAUGAAUGGCUGGACGAGGGUUCAACUGUCUCUUACUUCUGAUCUGUGAAAUUGACCUCCCUGUGAAAAGGCAGGGAUAAUAAAAUAAGACGAGAAGACCCUGUGGAGCUUAAAUUAACUAAUCAACGCAAUCAAAAAUAAACCCCAAUAGGGGAUAACAAUCAACGCUGAUUGAUUAGCUAUUUUGGUUGGGGUGACCUCGGAGUAAAAACCAACCUCCGAAUGAUACUAACCUAGACUCGACCAGUCCAAGUUAAAACUCAUUAAUUGACCCAAAUAAAUUGAUCAAUGGAACAAGUUACCCCAGGGAUAACAGCGCAAUCCUAUUCUAGAGUCCAUAUCGACAAUAGGGUUUACGACCUCGAUGUUGGAUCAGGACAUCCAAAUGGUGCAACCGCUAUUAAUGGUUCGUUUGUUCAACGAUUAAAGUC
rnacentral:rRNA from 1 species